CAGCCUAUAUUUUCGGAGUCGGGCAACCGACUAUGGCGAUAAACGCCGUAUGGAAUAAGCGUCAUGGACCCGGGGGCAGUACCCGGCGCCUCCACCAAUCUCAGUGCUGGGCGUGGCCAGCGAACUUUCGGGGGCGAACCAGGUUCGACAUGCGUGGUAAAGAUACAGGCUUUUGCUCGGUAUGAUACCGCCGUUAUCGGGUCACACACAAAGUUGCCAAUGAUAACGACUUGGCACUCGCUGCUUAGCAUGUCUAGGUAAGCGCGGCUCGGGGGGCGCCGGGCAACAGAAGCCCCCCAC
rnacentral:tmRNA from 1 species